rnacentral:lncRNA from 1 species
UCUUGAGUGGUUAAGCACCAUGUUUAGCUUCUGCUCUUGAUGGUUAAGCUUUGGUUUGCUUCUACCUUUUAGGUGGUUAAGUGUGUUUGCUUCUGUUAAGUGGUUAAGCAUUGUGUUGUGGCUUCUACUUAAUGGUUCAACAUAUUCCAAUUGUCUUUGAAUGUUUUUCAGUCAUUUUCAAUCUGCUGCCAAUGUGUUUCCGGCAUGUUUCAUUGUCUAUUUUUCUACUUGUAUUGUUCAUCCCAAGCUGGAAGUGUUGACUCCACCUUCCAUCUCGUGAGGGGGAGUGUGUUGUCUCCUAAUCAGUACUAAUCACUUUGAAGUCCAGCCCUGCAGCAAGUGCAGCUUUUGUUUCUGGGAAUUUGUUGUUUCCUUCUUCAAGUCCUGCCACAUCUUUUGAACUUGGCACCCCUGCUUCCUCUUCGGUGGUCUACUCUGUUAGCUCCAAUGUGGUCCAAGUUCUACUUUAGUUGGCAGCCCACUAAGUCUGCAUUUGGUUCCACAUUUAGUACAUCAUCGUCAUCCACUGUGUUUGUUACUUCUGCCAGUUCUCCAGUGCAUCAACUCCUCAAUUUUCAUUUACUCCGGCAGCAGCAGCCUCUACCUCCACACAAGCCAGCAACCUGCCCCAGUUCAAUCAAAUUUUGUAUUUGGGAGCAUCAACUCCAUCAGGAGGCAGUCCUUUCCAGUUUGGUGGUGCAGCUUGAGAUGCUUCAGUUCAUGUUCCAAGCUUGGAGCAUUUAAUUUAUAUGCUCCAGCUUGAGGGGGAGUGUUAAAUAUAUAUAUUGUAGAGAGCUGUAUUGUGUAGACAGCUGUGUAGGUAAAAGGCUGUUUUGAGUGUGUGUGAGGUUGAGUGUGUAUUAAGUUUUAUGUGUUGUCAUGUUGAGUGUGAGGGAAGCUGAGUAUCUAAUCCUUAUCCAAAGGCAGCUUAUCUCCUCUCUCUCUUUCUGUUUUAUAUAUAAAUAUACAAGCAGUGGCUGAGAAAUAAAAAAAAUAAAAAGAUAGCUCAGCACUUCUCUAUUGUAUUGUGUAACUCAAAUUUCUCAGCAAUGCAGUCACUUCAUUUUCAACAAACAGAUAAGGAAGUAAGACAGAAAUAGAUAAGCAUAAACAAAAUGAAAGCAAUUGGUCCCCCAAGCUUGAGAAAGAUUCUCAGAGCUCCCAAUUCUAUUUCCAAUUCUCCCAAUUCUAUUUCCAAUUCCAGCCUGAUCCUUACAAUUCCUCACUCCUCCCAAUAUAACCGAAACAUUAUUCUAACUGUCUCUCCUCUAACUAACUUCCACUAACAAAAGGUAUCGGGCCUUAGGUGGUUUGGGCCUUCCAGAAUAUGUCUUAAAGGGCCUAUUCCAUUUGGAAAAUAAAUUCCUGGAAGAACAUCCCUUCCAAAAUAUUAACAAGCAAAAAGAAAAAAGUGCUUAGAAUAAAAAUGGAGAAAAAAGUUAAAACCUAGAAAACCAAAUGUUGAAGUGAGACACAAUGGAUUGGAUGAAUAUUAUAAUGAUCCUAUCUAUAUCAGAACCAAUGCAUAUCUGAGUGGCUCUUUGUGGAUGGAGGACAUCAAAACUAACGACAAACAUUUAAGGUAAUAGAGAGGAAGUUGAAUGGAAGAAAUAACACAAGGACAGAAAUUCAACUUACAGAACUUCCUCCCAUAGCUGGAACAAGCAUUGAAGGGAUCAUCACACUUGUGCCAAGCAUCAAUAUGUAAUUUUGAAAUGCUAAUAGGAUGGUUUCAGCUGCAAUACAAGUCAUUCACAAUGAGGGAAGACAAAAAAGUAAUAGAUAAUUGUUUCUUAAUGUCACGCCUAACAGACUAACAAUAGAAUGUAAAAGAAUCACCCCUGACAUUAGAUUUUAACUUUCAAAAUACACCCUUUAAACCAUGCAGAACAUCAGAUUGAUAAUUGGUUUCUCUUGAAAUGAAGCAAUAUCACAAUUCACAACAUUGGAAUUAAAACACUGGAGAAAUUGUUUGCAAACUUCUACUCAAAAAUUAAGGAUUAGUUUUCAAAAUGUAAAGUGGCACUAUAGACUCACUUCUCAAGAACAACAUAUCAUGAGCCUUAAUAGACACCACCUUGUUGGUGACAUAGAUAUUGAUAUCAUAUCAAUACUUCUUAACAUGUUGAAAUUUGAAGACGUUUAAAAUCUACUAAUCUGUCUUUUAAAAUUUAAUCAUAUCAUACUUCUCAUAGAACCAACAUAAAACUUUAAUCUUCAUUUCUUUAGCAAAGGACCAAAGGAAAGAAAAACAUGUAUUUCAUCCUCAACAAGAAAACUAAAUAAAAAGGAGCUUAGUAUGAGUGUACCAACUGUUUAAAAUUCAGCUCGGAAAUGGAUCUCAAUUCUAUCAUUUAGUGAAUUAGCAAAUAGCAGGAGAGGGUCCUCAGAGAGAAAGACACAAAAUUCUUUUGUACAAAAUUGUAAUAAUCAAUGGUGGGUCCCGCCACAGUAAAAAUUUGUAGCUUCUUUCCUCAUAACUAUUGAGUAAAAGGAGAGGAUUCAAAUUCCCAGGACAUUACUGCCCCCCAUAAGGUCGUGAACAUUAAAAUCAUUAAAUAUUUUCAAUUUCAUCAUAACAAGAGUGACUAGAUCCUUCAGUUCUUUAGACAGAGAACUGAUAGCAUACCAGCACCAAGAACCAGAAGAACUGCUAAGAGACCACCAGGAUGGGAUGAAUUCGUUCACUAAUCAAGCAGAAGGGCAAUUUCGGAACUUACCAUAUUCUGGAGGAUCCUUCAGUUCUUUAGACAGAGAACCCAGAACAUAAACACUGGUGGGGCCAUUACUUUUAAGACGUUGUUACUCGAGAAGUAGUAGAAACUAGAAAGUGCUCUAAAAUGACAGGGAAAAAUGGUAACUACCAUAUAAUGCUAUGAUGGCUAGCUUUAUUUUGCUAUGGUCAUUACUUAUUACUGUUUCAUAGCUAAAAAGAAGUAGAAAUUAUAAUGUAAUGCACGUCUAAUAAAAAAAACUGAACAUCAAUGAAAGAAUUUGUUUUUUUAAAUUAAAAAAAAAAACCUCCUGAGAAAACAUAGCCAAACAGAAAGGAGAACAAGUUUUUUUUAAAAAAAAAAAAAAAACUAACAGAAAAGUGCAGAGUCCCACUCUAUCUCAACAACAACAACAAUAUAAAAAUUUGAACUUUAAGUCCACAUUUUCGGGACCAACGUAACAGCUUAGUCUCUCUUGUUACAAAACGUGCAGUAACAUAUCACUGAAAAUCCCAACACAGGAAGGAGCUUUAAUUCAAGUAAAGCAAAGAACUUCUAUUAUUUCUUCAGUCCAUUUGAGUAUUUGUUUUUUUAUAUACUAAAGGGAAGUAACUUGCCAUUAGGAAAGAUAAAAGCCAAAUAAAUGGUCAUGUGUUCCAAAAUAGAAAACUUAAAAUAGUUAACAUGGGCACGCUCUUUUUUCUAUAUUAGAGGAGAGUAUGGAAAAGCACAUUAGAAACUAAAAAUAAGAAUAAGAAAAUGUAAAAUGAGGAGUGAAAAAAGUAAGUUUGAAAGAAGAGUGAGACUCCUAAGCCUUUGUUUGUGUUGUGCAUGAGUGUAGAUUAUGGAAAGUGGAAAACAAAACAAAUAAACAAACCCAAAUGAGAGAGAAACAGGAAUAAGGUACCCCAUGGAGGAUUCGAGUCUAUGCAGUACUCAAGGUCCUGAAGCUGUUCCAUAGGUGGAUGAGUAAUGUCAGCCAUUGUUGAAGCUUCUUCAGAGAAAGAAAAGAGUUUCAAGGAAGAAAGAAACAACCACGGAUGAAAAAGAAAACCAAAGGAAGAAAGGACGAAGCAGAGAAGAAGAGUUCAGAACAAAGUAAAGUGCAGAUAAUAAAGUGAACUACUAAAGCAUGAAUAUUUAAUUUUUACUUUAAUGUAGUAUAUGAGAAAGAAAGUGUAACGCCCUCUUUCUCUUCUGUGUUCUGUCAUCUUUUUUAUUAAUUGUUUUUUCAAUUUGAAACGGUGGUGAUUUACCGAACUACCCCAUCAACUUAAUUCAACGAGAAGUUAGGUGGGCUCCACAAAUUCGGAGCUGGGUCAAUGUAGCAAUGAUGUUGGGAAUUUCUCAAUGUGAAGUGACCAAAAUGUUUUUCAUUUAAAAAUUAAAAAACAUUCUCCCUCACUCUUUGUUUAUGCUGCUGUUCUCCUUCGUUCUUGGUUCUUCGUCUCGCGUUGUCAAGAGCUUGCCCUUAGUGUCGUCGUUUGCUCAUUGCCGCCACUCCUCACCACUUUUGUCAUUGUCGCCCUGAGUGUUUUUAACUUUAUUAUUUUUGUUUGUUUCAAGAUUACUGUGAUUCCAUUGUAGUAAUUGGGAAUGCAUAUGAAUUGUAAAUCUGUAAGAUUUAUACAGAUUUUUAAUUCAUAUAAUUAAUUAUUUUAUAAUUUUUAAAUAAUAAUUGAAUAAAAUUUUAUUAUUUAAAAAUAAUUAAUAUUUUUGUUGUAUAUUUUUAAUGUAUUUUUAUUUAAUUAAUUAUAUUUUUAACGUUGUUUUUUAAUAAAUAAUUUAUUUAAUAAAUAAAUAAUUUAAGAAUUUUGUUUAUUAAGAAAUGAAUGUAUAAAUAUUAUUGUUAUUUAUUUAUUUUUAAAAUACAAGUAACUUAAUUAUAUUUGCUAUUUAAAAUAGUUCUUUUUAUAAAUUUGUUAAAUAUCAUAAAUUUCAAAUUUUUAUUAGUAUAUAUUUCACAAUUUAGUUUAACAAGAAAAUCUAAAUUUGUAUCUGACAAUUUUUUUUUACUAUAUAGCCGCGCAUAUAUAUAUAUAUAUAUAUAGUAAUAGUAUUAAAUAUUUAUAUAAAUAGUGUUUGGAAGUAUAAAAUUAAAAUUUUUUUCAUUUGUUAUUAAAUAUUUAAAAUUAUUCAAAUACUAAUUUAUAAAAAAAUGAAAUAGUCGUUCAUUAGAAAUAAAAAAAGAAAAUUGUACUUAAAUUUUGGCCAUUAAUUUAAGUUUACUAGAAUUAGUGAUGUGAAGUCUAUAAAUUUUAAAAAAGAAUUUCUAUAUUCAUUUAUGAAAAUAUAUAAAAGUAUUAAAAAGGUUAUUUAAAAAAUAAUGAAAUAUUUAUUUAUGGAUUAUUAAAUAGUAAUUGAUUCAAGUAUUAUUUGAAUGGUGACAUUAUUGUUUAAAUGUGCAAAUUAAACCAGAGAGAAUUAUGUCAGGCUUUAGGCAAAGUUAUAGUAAAAGUCUUAAGGACACACGUUAGUGGUGAUACGGAUGAAGUCCCUCAGCGUUGAAGGUCGACAGCAUAUGCACGUAGGCAAUGGGCAGCUGCACCUACUGCUAAGGAUGUUGAGCAUGUGGAUCAUGCAGCUGACGAGGUUCAUGAGCAGGCUCAAGGGAUAGUUAUUGAUGAUGUACGUGUUGAUGCCCAUAAUUUUCCAGGCGAGCCCCACGAUACAUCAGUUUUGAUAGAGAUGCCCAUAAUUUUCCAGGCGAGCCCCACGAUACAUCAGUUUUGAUAGAUUAUGUUCAUCAUGUGGCAGCCAUAGUUUUAGUAGGAGAGUUACUUAUUUCUUGAAUUAUAUAAUAUUUUCAUAACUAUUUUUCAUUUAACUUGAAGUGAUUGAUAUUUUUUUCCAGAAACGUCCUGAGUUGAAGUUGUCCUCUCAUGGAAGGAAGAUACAGAAAUUUGGAAGGCAUGCACCAAAGAUUGAAGGCAUAGUGGCUGCCACAGGAUUAAGUCCUUUGAUUGCAUGUUCGGCUAUCCUGACUGGGAGACAUUUAUCAUAGCAAAUGUGACACAGGACAAUGGAUCGUAGCAGCUCGAGCAUAUAUGUUGCAGCUAGUAGUUUGCACAUUGUUUGCUAACAAGAGUGCCACACACGUGCACGUGGUAUUCUUGGAUGCAUUUCAUGACCUCAGCCAAACUGGAAGCUACUUAUGGGGAGCGGCUGCAUUGGUCCAUAUGUAUGAGAAUUUGAAUGAUGUGUCAAAAAGAAUUGUCAGACAACUAGCAGGAUAUAUCACAUUGUUACAGGUAUUUAUAAUUUCUUUUAACUUUAAUUAUUAGUUUUAUAGUUUAUAUUUACUGUUGGUUUGAAUUUUGUUUGUUUGUUAAAUAUGUGCGGUGUUGGAUCCACAAGCAUUUUCCUACUACUACUUCAUGUGUUGCUGGUGAGGAUUAUCAUAAGAGGAAACCGUGUGCUUGUCGUUGGAAGUCUGGGAAGGCAUUACCGGUGUCGACAUAUUGUAAGUGGUUGGAUAGAUUGACAUUCGAUGUUGUGUGCAGGAUUCCUUAUGGUGACCACUGUUCAUUCAAAGAAUUUAAGUUGAUCUCCUUAUUUUCCGGACAAAUUAGAUGGGGUUAAUCUGUAUGUUUUAUACAGGUUGCAAAUCCGUAUACACUACAUCGAAGUUGCAGAAAAACAAAAUCGUACCUUCGCCGUUAACAGCCGCACCAACCACCAUCACAAUCACCACUUGCCAAUGAACUGUUGUAACCAAAUUGUCAAUUCAAAGAAUUUAAGUUGAUCUCCUUAUUUUCCGAACAAAUCAGAUGGGGUUAAUCUGUAUGUUUUAUACAGGUUGCAAAUCCGUAUACACUACAUCGAAGUUGCAGAAAAAAAAAAUUGUACCUCCGCCGUUAACAGCCACACCAACCACCAUCACAAUCACCACUUGCCAAUGAACUGUUGUAACCAAAUUGUCAUGACCAAACGGACACAACAAUGGACCACCACCUCUCACGAGAAUGAAUGCCGCAUGAAGAAGGAAAACAAAGAAGAAGAAGUUAGCAGGAAGGGGUACUUUCAGAAUUUUGAAAUGUUGUUGGGUGCACAAAGCAAUUCCCAUGAUGUUUGACCGUGGAAUUCCUCAAUGGAGAACACAAUUGAGGGAGUUAUGUUGGUUUAUCUGCGUUGUCAAUGACGUGCACUGAUUGUUGGUAAUGUUUUUUAAAGGAUAAAUACCCAAUUUGAUUUUUUAAUUUAUAAAGUGUAGAUAGUUGAAUCCCUAAAUUAUUAAAAAAAAAAAAUAAAAGUCUUUUUUAAUUGUAAAAAGUGUGGCAAAUUCCUCACCCUAUCUAUUUCUUUUGUUAACGUAAACGGUCAAACUUACAUGAUUUCAUCUAUUUGGAUGUGAGUGUUUUAUCCUGAACACUAAAAACUAACUUGCCAAGUUUGAUUUUUGUCAGACCUUAAUUUCGUCUGGGGAUGAUCAUUUGCUAAAGUUUUGAUUCUUGCUAGCCGAAUUGAGCUGCUUGACACCAGUUGUCACGCAAUACGAAAUGUUUUUCGACGUUUCGGUAAAGAAUGUGGAAAGUACCCAAAAGGGAGGGCUAAAGGGUCAUUUUGAGGCUUUUUCAAACCCCUGGCUCGCCCAGGCUAGCCUUUGGCUCACCUGGGCCCCCAAAUGACUUAGGGGUGAAGUAACCAGCUCACUUGGGCGAGCAAGGUUACUUCAAGUUGAAGCAACAGCUUGCUUGGGCGAGCUGCAGAUCAACCAAGUCCUCUCAUUCCCUAUAAAUAGGCGUGAGGGGGCCAAAGGAAGGGGUUCAAACUUUCAACAUUGAAAGGAUUUAGUGAAAUUGCGAAGAAAAAGGAGAAAGAAGAAGAAAAACGAGGUCGAGGCGCUUUCGAAUCACAUCCGUGAUCGAUUCCUACAUCGUUCUUUGUUCGUCAAUCGGUUAAUAUUUAUUUUAAUGUUUUGAAUUCGCUCUAUGCACCCUUAGGGGCCCUCAUUCUUCUACCAUCAGUGAUCUCAUUUCUUCACGUAAAGCGAAUUUCAACCGAUCAAUUGUGUCAUAAUCUCAUUUUAUCCUUGUAAAAUAAAAUUUUAGCCAGUCAUCUACUUCACAAGUCGUCUUUUAAUGAGAUUGAAAGUAAAUAAGUGAAACCAAGAUAAAAUCAACAUGUAAUCGAGCUUUCUAUCCACAAAAUUCGCUUGAGUCCAUUCAAGGUCCAACGCCUUAACGGUCUCUUUUAUUUUUAUUGGUUAAAAUGAACCGUUCAAAAGUUUAAAAGCAACUCGACACACAACUUUCUUGCUUUUAAAGAACUACGUAGGUCUGAGUUCCUCAUCGCACUUGAGGAUACGAAGGAGCAAGGGCAACGCUCUUGUCGACCCCAAAAGAUAAAAAAACAUAAAAAAGGGAAAAUAAAUAAAUAUUAAAGUCAUGGUUUUGCACACUCGAUUAAAGGCUUCUGUCCCUUGUGACGGGCGUAUGGGGUGCUAAUACCUUCCCCACACAUAAACAACUCCCAAACCCUUAUUCUUAAAAUUCGCAGGCCCUUUUUUGGUUUUUCUAACGUUUUCCUCAAAUAAAUGUUGGUGGCGACUCCCGUGCGUUUUUCCUUUUGGAAGACGCACCCUUGAGUCUCGCCUCACCCUCCCGCCGAAGGGUAGGUUGCAACAGUUGGCGACUCCACUGUGGAUGUUUUUUUAGAGAGUUGGGCCAUUUAAUUGGUGUGCAAUAUUUAUCAUGACUUUCUCUUUGUUUUGUUUCCUUUUCUUUCUUUUAUGUUCUUGUGUUCAUAUAACUCUUUUGUGCUUUUGUAUUUGGUGUGGCUGUUUACUUAAUACAUGCAUAUUUAUAAAUAUUUGUUUAUUUUAUGCACACAUGGCACUACCCCUUUGCACAUACGGUGAGUUAUUGUGCCCUAUACCCGGGUCCCUAGAAACAUAGGAAGUAGAGGUUGAUCUGUGGUCAUGCUGGGUCUCCGACUCGCAUGAUGACAGUGAAGCCUCAUCUAAAGUUUUUCUCUUUGAUGAUACGUUGUCACUGGUAGUCCCUACUGCCAUAAUGUUUGAUAUCAAAGAGGAUGAUAUCUCUAGAAACCUUUGAAAGUUAUGUGCAACCACCUUUGGGAGUUGUCACUAAAUAACAAACCUUUAGUCCCUCGCAUUAGGUUCCUAAAAUGGGGGCACGGAACAAAUGCACUAUGUUUUGUUUUCUUGAUACAGCCAUGCAUAUCUUUAUGAUGUCAUGAUUGUGUGCAUCAUUCUUGUGUUUUCCAUUGUCGCAACUUGCCCUCCGGUGGGGGCACGACACGGGACCUGAUGGUGCGUCUUCCAAGGAAGGAAAAAAUGUCCAAAGUUGCCACCAAAGUUUAUUCGAGGAAAACAUUGGAAAAACACAAAUGGAAGAGGUCUAAGGUUUGCGUAUUUUGAAAAUGAGGGUCCGGGAGUUGUUUACGCACGGGGAAGGUAUUAACACCCCACGCGCCUAUUGCAAGGGACGACAGCCUCUAAUCGAGUGUGCAAAUCAUGACUUCAAAACUAUGUAUUUUCCCUUUUUAUGUUUUUUACUUUUUUGGGAUCGACAAGGGUGCUUCCCUCACUCCUACGUAUUCCUCAAUUGCGAUGAGGAAAUCAGACCUACAUAGUUCUUUAAGAACUAAACGUUGGUUAAAUUGUUUUUUUACCUUUUUUGAUAGAUUGAUUUUAACCGAGCAAAAGUCGUUUAUGGCGUUGGACCUUGAAACAAUCUUUUGAUUUUUGAAAAGUGAGCAUUGUUAAGGCACUAGACCUUUGAACGAUCUCUUGAUUUUUGAAAAGAGGAGAAAGAGUCAUUUAGGCAUUGGACCUUGAAACGAUCUUCUCAAGUUUGCAAGGCGAGAAUCGUUAAGGCGUUGGACCUUGAAACGAAUUCUUGAUUUUUUGAUGAAAUGAAGAAGCUUAUGAGUUAUUUUUUUUGGUUUUGGCUCACUAAUCUUCAAUCCUUGUUUUAAGAUAACUUGCGGUGUUAAUGACCGGUUAAAACUUAUUUUACAUUGAUGAAAAGAGUUUUUGACACAAACGAUUGGUUGAAACUUAUUUACAACACAAAUGUUCGGUUGAAAUUGAUUUAAAUAGUGAUUAAGUGAAAUUUCAACACAAAUGAUCGGUUGAAUUUUAUUUUAACGGUGAUUAAAUGAGAUUACGAUAUGAAUGAUCGGUCGAAACUCGCUUUAAACAAAGAAAACGAUCACCGAUGAUCGAAAAAGGAGAUGAAGAUGCACAAAUAAUAAAGGGGACCCCUAAGGGUCCAUAAAUUAAAUUCAAAUCCUUAAAAGCAAGCACUAACCGGACGAAGAACGGAUGAAGAAUGAACGAAGAACGACCGAAGAACGAAUGACGAACGGUGUAGGAAUCGAUCACGAAUGCGAUUCGGAAGCGUUUCGGCCUUGUUUUCUCUUCUUUCUUCUUCCUUUCUCUUCUCUCUGGACCUCUAGACCUUGGGGAACCUCAGGGACCCUUUUCCUUCAGCCCCUCAUGCCUAUUUAUAGCAAAAUGAGGCAUUUGGGCUGAAGGUAGCUCGCCCAGGCGAGCUGACGACUUAAUUCUGAAGUAACUCCAGGCAAGCUGGUUACUUCACCUUUAAGUUUUCUAAUGGGCCCAGGGGCUAGAAAAUGUCCCCAAAAUGACCAUUUUGCCCUUCUUUUGAAUAUUUGCACAUUUCCUUCUGAAACAUUGCAAAACCCUACGGAUUGCACGACAAUUGGUGUUAAGUAGCUCAAUUCGGCUGGCAAGAAUCCAAAUGUUAGCAAAUGAAGGUUCCUAGAUGAAAUUAGGGUAUGACAAUUGCCCCUCUUUACUUAUCUUUUAUUGGAUAUAAAAGGGAAGUAAAGAUAAAGACACUAAUUUCGUUCAAGGGAUCUCACCAUCCAACCGGCCACUAGCGAAAGUCCAAGCAGUAAAACCCGUGAAAGCAUGAAGACAUUUCUUCUUCUUUUUCUCAUUUUAUUCUUUUUUUCAUUUUUAUUUUCUAGAUAUAUUUUUAUUUAUAUAUAUAUUUUAUAUUUUUUUAUUUUAAAAGCAUAGAAACAGAGGACGUCGAGUCCUAUGAAGCACAGGGAUAAAAGAUAUUGAACUUUUUGAGAUGAAGACAUUGUCGUCUUUGAAAGCGUAAGUGAUGGCAUUGUCGCCUUUUGCAGGCAUGCAAUGACUGAAGACAUUGUCGUCUUCGAAAUGCAAAUAUGGUCAUUGUCGCCUUUGAAGGCAUGCAAUGACUGAAGACAUUGUCAUCUUCGAAAUGCAAAUGAUGGUCAUUGUCGCCUUUGAAGGCAUGCAAUGACUAAAGACAUUGUCAUCUUCGAAAUGUAAAUAAAGACAUUAUGGUCUCUGUAUGCCAUCGGACUUGAUUGUCUCUGGAUGGUAAAGGGUGCGGAUGACCAUGAUGGUCUCCGCGUGCCAACGGACUUGCUUGUCUCUGGUUGGCAAGGGAGACUUCAAUAGUCUUGAAAACAAUGAAAAGCGGAAGACCAUGAUUUGUCUCCCCAUGCCAACGGACUCCCUGGUCCCUGGUUGGCAAGGGAGACUUCAAUGGUCUUGAAAACAAUGAAAAGCGGAAGACCAUGAUUUGUCUCCGUGUGCCAACAAACUCGCUUGUCUUUGGAAGGCAAAGGGGAGCGGAUGACCAUAAUUUGUCUCCACGUGCCAACAGACUCACUUGUCUCUUGUUGGCAAAGGAGACUUCAAUAGCCUCUGAGAAGCAAAUAUGACAGAAGACUUUGAGUCCUAUGAAAGAUAAAGAUAGAGGACUUUGAGUCCUAUGAAAGACAAAAGCGAGGACUUUGAGUCUUGUGAAAGAUGAAGGUGAGGACUUUGAGUCCUAUGCAGGCGAGCCAAUAGGUACAAGUACCAAAGGGCUUUAGCCUUAUGAGAAAGCACGAUGUUGACUCUUUGAGAAGGCCUCUCAUCUAUGCACUUAUUGCCAAAUAUGAACAUGAUUUUUUGGGAUGCAGAUGUACGCAACCUUCAUCUUGAAAUGAAGUAAAUGCAAGCUUUGUAUGCAAUAAUGCAAUGCAAUGAAAUAUUGUACAAUGUUCAUGACAUUCUUUCCUAUUUUUGUGAUUUUGAUUUUGAUUUGAUGUUUUUCUUUUUGUGGAAAACACAGAUUGACUGUUUCUUUUUUGAAAGAUGUGAUAACUCAUACAACCUCAUCCUAUUUUUUUGUAACUCUCUUUGGGGACUCCCUCAGAGUGUAUGUUUUGUUUGAUUCAGCCACUUGACAACUUGGAGUGACAGCAAUGGAGCCGUUUGACAUUUAAUCAAUCAAUUGAAAUAUUGAUCCUAGGGUUUUCCCCUUUCUUUUUGUUUAAAACAUCGAUUACUCUGCACAACAAGAGGAAUAUAAGGCCUUGGGACCAACCACAUGCACCAUUGAAGGAUGGCAAUGGAUCGUUGCACUUUGGUAUAUGACCAAGUGAAACUUUCUUGAUUUAAGGUCAUAGAGUGAUGCCAUGAGUUUGUUGAUUAUUAGUUGGUGAAAACGACUAACUUUUGUGUAUAAAACUUGUGUAUAUUGUAUCAAACUUCUCCAAUUUAUAGUUGUUUUAUAAUAUUAUAAGUACUUUCUGUUAAAUAUAGGUAAUAGAUAAUUUAUACUUUUGUUUUGUGUGUUUAAUAAUCAAUUUUUCUCAAUUUCAGGUUAAUUAGGCAAAUUGGCAAAAGUGUUGUUUUCACCUUCUUGCUAACCCAAUCUGCUGGCUUUGUGAGCAUUCGCUAAGCGCGACACUUAGUGGCUAAGCACGAGGAAGAAUCCAGAAGAAGAUGAGUUGUCAGGUUCGCUGAGCGCACUGCUCCAGGUCAUCAAGCGCACCGCUUCAGCUCAUCCGCUAAGCGAGAGAAGCGCACUAAGCCAAAAUCCACUUAUGCAUGCUAAGCGAUUCAAAUUUGCACUGAGCGUGCAAGCACGGACCAACCCACCUAUUUAAGCUUGAAAUCAGAUUUUUUGAAGGGAGUUUGGCAUUGCUUCUUGAGAAGCCUAUGCCUGCACAAGAGUCUAGCCUUGGCUUGAAGCUUUUGCAUGUUUAGGAAGUUCUAGAGAGAGAAAGGUCCAAGUUCCAAAGAGUUCUGAGAGAUUUUGCUAUGUGAAGAUCUGCAGAGACGAUAGCUCAAAGCGAGAGCCGUUCUGAAAGCUUGAGAUGAGUUUUUGAGUGAUUGUGAGAUCCUAGAGGUGAAGUAGACAUCCUCACCACUUGUAUUUUUGCAAUCUUUCAUCUUGUUCUUCUCUGUGUAUUAAAAGAGGUUUUUGGACUAUGGAAAGCUAAAUCCUCUGUUGGAUCUUCCCUGUAGGUACCAGAUGUAAAUAUAUUUCUAUUUAUGUAAUGAUGUUUUGUGUGUUCUCUAUGCUAUCUGCUUUUCAUUCCAGUAUGCCUUUACCUUGAUCACGUAGAUGCAUGCUUUGUUAAGGUCAUUCAAUAGUGGAAACUGGUCUGAUUCUAAAGUCCUUGAUAGUAUGGGGCUAAGUUGUUGUACUGUCACGAGGAAUCGGGGUACAAGAACUUAGUUGUGUAUGUGUGUCUUAAUGCGGUCCUGGUUGAGUUUAGUCUUACAAGAGGAAUCUACGGACGAGGCUUGAUCAGGAUUAGGCUAGGCUAUCAUGAGGAAUCGGGGUCUAGCAGUCCAGGAGACACCAUAGGAAUACAUGGGCAUUGUUAGAUAGAGAACAUUCGUUUUAGCAUCAGGAACCUAUUAGGAAGACCAACACUUUCUCUACUAGUUUUUACACAACAUUUCUCUUGCAUGAUUUUCUUUCUUUUUGCAUAGAUAUUUUACAUACCUGUUCAUAACCACAAUCAUCUUUUCAUACCAGACACCUAUUUACCGAAAUAGCUUGCCAGAUAACACAAGUUCCCUGAGAGUUCGAUACUCGGUUCUUACCGUUUUAUACUACUUGUACGAUCCGGUACACUUGCCGGCCGCGAACAUUGAUCCUACUAGGAGUUUGAUGACAUGGGCUGAUCACGAAAGAAUUUAUAUGACGAAGCUACCCCUUGGAUUUGAAAAGAAUCCCAAAGAGCUUGCAUGAGAGACUAACGUUAGAUGUACCCUACUAUCACUAUUGGCUUCGGGCAUUUUCUAUGAGCUCCUGGUUGAAUGAGAUUUCUUCUCAGAUGUGCAAGUGUGAACCUCAGGGGCUUCUCUCUUUUUUUGUUUUAGGUAAAUAUAUAUUAUUUUUUUUAACAAUCACAAGCGUGCGCGGGUUUCAUUUCAGAAUCCCAACGUAAAAGCAAAUUAGUCAUUCCUUGAUCCACAUGGGCUUUAUUGGGCUCGUAACGUGGUCAGGGGUAAGAAGGCUUAUGAAAGAAAGGAUUAGACAGGCUCAAAGAGUGUUUGGGUGUUAUAUUGAGUAAGAACCUCAAAAGCUUCUUGCUUGUACCUUUUGUUCAUUUCAACUUUUGAGUGGGGCUCUACUCCUUUUGUCUUGUACAUUAAUCUUUCAUUGCACUUUUGUGCCUUUCUUGCAAAAUUUGGAGAUAUUUUGUCUUUCUUUUUUAUUCACUCGCCUUUGGCGGAUUUAUUUUCUUUUUUCAUUGUUGCCCAACUUCAUGCAUGUGUAGUUUGCAUUGCUCUUCCUAUUGAUUUAGCGGUGGUUCCCACUCAGGGUUUCUAUUUUGUUUUGCUAUUUUUUCUUUGUUGUUGUUUUUAGAAAACAACAUGCUUUGGCUCUGAGGGGCUAGCAAAGGAUAGACUGGUGUUUGGGAUGUUUAAACUUGGCCAUGUGUCAUUUCAAAUCCCGACUUAGAUCCUUUUGUAGUUUGGAUUUUGGGACAAAACCUUAACAACAUGCCCCUGAUUAUUUUUUUAUUUUUUUAUUACCCUAAUUUUGCUAAGGUCGCCCUUUCGGGUUUUCAACCUAACGGGUGAGAAAUUUUGAUCUGCCCCCUAGGUUUGCUUGAGGCUCAUGCAUGGUGCCUCUCAUUGCCCCAGUGUAGGGCUUUGAGGUAUCUAUUGCUAUUUUUUUCCACGACCUUGUAGCAAGGAAGAAUGAAAGAAGCUAUGCAGAUUCUAAAAAAUGAAUUUUUCAAGGACGAGAAACAUUUGAAGGAUUUUUAAAUUGACAGAUUAAGUCAAAUGACUCCUAUUCUUUAUAACUCACAUUUUUCUCAAAAAGACAAACUUUCAGGAAUGAUAAAAUGAGGUCACAUGAAUGUUUGUAUAUUUUUAAUUUGAAACACAAUCAAUCAAAUGCUUUUUCUUUCUUUGUUUCAAACUUUACUCGUCGUUUUAUGGCACCUCGAUCAAACGUGCAGAACGAGUAACUUCUGAUUGAACAAUCUUUGGAAGUCAAAACUCAAGAGCGCAGGUCACUUAAGCAAACAAACCAACGACUUACAUUCACAUUCCAGUGGAAGUCAAAUAAGCAAAGAUGUAAUUGUGAGAGGAUGACAGACAAGGAUGCCAAAUUUAUCCAUAUUAUUAGCAUUGUAACUAUGGUUUACAAUAAUGGCAUAAACUUGAAAAUCCUAAUGAGUCAUUAGAGACAUCUAACAACAACCUUAAAAUUGCCCCAUGUAUGGUGUCGCUUGCCAAUGCCAGAAUUUACAAGCGAUUAUCCUCAAAUUUCAGCCAGCCCGCAUCAAUUAGACAUUGCAUAUUAUGCUUCAGGGUCCUACAAUGCUCAAUGGAAUGCCCUGGAACUCCUCCAUGGUAAGCACAUGUUGUGCUCGAGUCGUAUCCUCAGAAAAAUGGAGGUUGAGGAACCUUGGCUGGGGUUAUGGCUACCAUUGAAUUAUCGAGUAGAUAUGGGAACAAGUUAGCAUAGGACACCAGAAUUUGGGUGAAUUCUACAGGCUUUUUCGUUGGAAAACUCCCUCUCGGGUUGGUGUUUUGGUUUGUGUUAUGGGUGGUGUUUGGCAUUGGAUGUGCGGCAGGUGGGCUUUGUGGCUGAUUUAGGGGUGGUUGUUAGUCGGUUAAUACAACUAACUUUUGUGUAAGAAACUGUUGUAAAUUGUAUACAACUCUUCCUAUUUAUAGUUCUUUUUGUAGUAUCGUAAUUACUUUUUGUUAAUAUAGGUAAUCAGUACUCAGUAUCCCAAUUUUGUGUAUUUAAUGAUCAUUUCAUUUCAAUUUCAGGUAAAAUGGGCAAGAUUGGUGAAGUGCAUAAUUUAUUGAUUCGCUAAGUCGUUUCACGUGCUGAGCGAGCAAUCCGCUAAGCGCGACAUCUGUUGGAUGAGUGCAUAGAAAACUCUGGAAGAAGGAUGAGCUGUACAGAAGCACUGAGAGGGUGUCAACUCGCUAAGCGCACUGCCUGCAUCCUCCAGGCUGAGCGAGAAGACUGGCGGUAAGCCAAAAGCCACUUAUGCACGCCAAGCGAGCGAUGAUCUUGCUAAGCGCGCGGCCAUCGACAGGAUUGCCUAUUUAAGCUGAAAUCUCGAAUUUGAAAGGAGUGUUUUUAGGGUUUUUUUUAGUUUUUAGUUUUGGAUGUGGAGAGACUGAGAGAUACCAAAGCUUGACGAGGAAGCCAUCUUGUGGAGCUUUGGAUGAGAUUUCAAGUGAUUGUGAGGUUUCUAGAGGUGGAAGAGACACCCCCAUUACUUGUACUUCUUCAGUCUUUCAUUUUCUCUUUUCAUUGUUGUAAAAGAAGCUUCCCUGCUAUGGAGAGCUAAAUCCUCAAUUGGUUCUUCCUAUGGGGUACUUGAUGUAAAUACUUUCAUAUUUAUCUAAUGAUGUUUUAUGUUUUCACUAUGCUAUCAGUACUUAAUUCUAGUGUGCCUUUGCCUUGAUCAGGCAACUGCAUGCUUAGUUAGGGUCACUCAACAUUGGGAAAUGGUUUGAUCCUUAGAACCUGAUAGGACAGGGCUAGCUUAUCGUAUUUUCUUGAGACAUCGGGGUACGAUAACUUAGUUUUUGGUAUGUUAUGUCUUAAUGCGGUUUUGGUUAAGUUUAGUCCAAUAGGAGGUAUCUGAGGAUGAUGCUUGAUUAGGAUUAGGCUAAACAUGCGCGAGACAUCGGGGUUUUGUAGUCCAGGAGACAACAUAAAACAUAGGAACAUUGUUAGGUAGAGAACAUCCUUAGUAACAUCAAUUCACCCAGUAGGAAGACCAAUAAGUUGUCUAUCUGUCUUCACACACCACUACUCACCUUUACUUGCUUUUGAAUAGUUUAGUUUACAUACUUGUCCAUACUACACACCAAACUUUUAUCACAAGACACUUAUUUAUUGAAUCAUAGCUUUACCAAGUAAAACAAGUUCCCCGAGAGUUCGAUACUCGGUAUUCACUUACCGUUUUAUACUACUUGAGCGAUCUGGUACACUUGUCGGCUGUCAACUAGUGCCUUCGUGGUUGAUUGGGUGGUGGGUAAUGAGAAGGGAUGAUAUUGGCUGAGUAAUGACAUUGUUGGGUUGGUGGAAAAUUUGGCCAUGUAGGAACGAUAACCACAACAUGGGUUCCUCCCUCCAUCUCUUUCUCUCUAUUUGCCCCAGUUUUCUCAUUCAUCAAAGUAGGGUGAUCAAAUUUGCCUCUUCUCAGACCCACUUCGAUCCUUUUGCUGACAAAAACUAAAUCAACAAAGCUUGAAGGCAAGUAACCCACCAUUUUCUCGUAGUAGAACACCAGUAGAGUGUCUACUAUCGUUGUUAUCAUCUCCUUUUUCGUCAUUGGGGGUGCCACUUGGGAUGCCAGAUCCCUCCACCUUCGGACGUAUUCUUUGAAAGAUUCUUGCACCUUUGGACGUUAUCAUCUCCCUUUUCGCCAUUAGGGUGCCACUGAUACUGCCUAACGAAAGCAAUCAUUAGGUCCUUCCAAGAAUGGACUCGGAAAGGUUCCAGAUUAGUGUACUAGGUGCCGGCUGCCCCAAUAAGACUUUCUUGGAAGAAAUGCAUAAAAAAAUUUCAUUUUUCGCAUAUGCUCCCAAUUUCCUACAGUACACCUUUAGGUGAUUCUUGAGGCAAGUUGUCCCCUUGUAUUUAUUGAAGUCCAGUACCUUGAACUUCAGAGGAAUGACCACGUCGGGUACUAGGCAAAAAUCUUCCAUGUUAGCAAGGGAAUAAUCUUUGCCUCCUUCAACGACCCUUAGCCUUUCCUCUAUUUGAUCCAACUUUUCUUUUUCAGGCAUAGCAGAAAGGGCUCUUCCCACUGCAAAAUGCAAGGGUUGUGUUUGUGGGAAAAACUGAGGGCCCUCCAAAGUGUUUGGUAGGGGUACACCACCAACUACUUGCCCUUCAAUGGCGUAUUCGAGGCAAGGCUCGAAGUUGGCUAGAUUGUGGUGGGGUAUUUCAUGUGUGCCCCCCAUGGGUUGAGGGAUAGGUGCAUGAUCAGAUUGAGGUUGUUGGUUCUCAAUGAGUAUGGGAGUGGAGUUAUUGACAUUCUCAUUAGGAGUGUGCGCCACAUUAGGUGGUGUAUAAUUGGGAGGCAAGCCAUAUGGCAGGAAGGCAUGCUUGUUUUGAACUUGCACAAAAUAGAGGCCGCCCGUACUUCCUAAUUCUUUGCCUUUCUGCCCUACCAUAUCCAAGAUGGGAUGAUUUAUUUGGUUGAGGCCAAAUGGGGGAAUCGGGUCCACCUCAGCAAUGACACUGGAAGCGACAAUUGCAGCCGUAUUGACCUCCAUUAUCUUCUUCAUGCUCAUCAUGGCCUCCAUCAUCGUGGCCAUUUGCUCUUUCAGGGCCUCCAUGUUGACCUUCAUCCGCUCUUGUACCUCCUUUACUUCAUCCAUUACUAUGGCUCUUGACACCAGUUGCCAUGCAAUACGAAAGGUUUUUUGACGUUUCGGCAAAGAAUGUAGAAAAUACUCAAGUGAGAGGGCAAAAGGGUCAUUUUGGAGCUUUUUCUGACCCCUGGCUCACCCAGGCUAGCCUCUGGCUCACUCGGGCCCCCAAAUAACUUAAGGGUGAAGUAACCAGCUCACCUGGGUAAGCAAGGUUACUUCAGGUUGAAGCAACAGCUCGCCUGGGCGAGUAGGAGAUCAACCAAGUCCCUUCAUUUCCUAUAAAUAGGCAUGAGGGGGAUGAAGGAAGGGGUUCAAACUUUCAACAUUGAAAGGAUUUAGUGAAAUUAAGGAGAAGAAGGAGAAAGAAGAAGAAAAACGAGGCCGAGGCACUUCCGAAUCGCAUCCGUGAUUGAUUCCUACAUCGUUCUUCGUUUGUUCUUCGUUCGUCAACCGGUUAGUAUUUAUUUUAAUGUUUUGAAUUCGCUCUAUGCACUAUUAGGGGUCCUCCUUGUUACUUUACACAUCUUCAUCUCAUUCUUCUACCAUCAGUGAUCUCAUUUCUUGAUGUAAAGCAAAUUUCAACCGAUCAGUUGUGCCAUAAUCUCAUUUUAUCCUUGUAAAAUAAAAUUUCAACCGAUCAUUUACUUCACAAGUCAUCUUUUAAUGAGAUUGAAAAUAAAUAAGUUAAACCAAGAUAAAAUCAACAUAUAAUAGAGCUUUCCAUCCACAAAAGUCGCUUGAGUUCAUUCAAAGCCCAACGCCUUAGGAAGAAGGCUAUGACAUGAAGGGACUCUUUGAUAGGGUUAGAAGGACACCCUUUCUGGAGAAGUUCAGUACUUGGCAUUAUGGCUCAUUGUUCGGCUUCUGGCAAGUGCACCGGAUCGCACAAGUAGUAUAAAACGGUAAGAACCGAGUAUUGAACACUCGGGGAACUUGUGUUAUUUGGUAAGUUAUUUCAGCAAAUAGGUGUCUAGUGUGUAAAAGUAAGUGUGAAUAAGAACAAGUGUAUAAACUAUCUAUGCAAAAAGAAAGAAAAUCACGCAAGAGAAAUGAUGUGUAAAAACAAGUAGAUAACACGUUGGUCUUCCUAAUAGGUGCCUGAUGCUAAAAAGAUAUUCUCUAUCUAACAAUGCUCAUGUGUUCUUAUGGUGUCUUUUGAGAUACUAAACCCCUAUUCCUCAUGAUAGUUUAGCCUAAUCUUGUUCAAACAUCGUCCGCAGAUUCCUCUUGUAAGACUAAACUCAACCAGGACCGCAUUAAGACACACAUACUCAACUAACUUAUCGCACCCCGAUUCCUCGUGAAAGCACGACAACUCAGCCCUGCACUAUCAAGGACUUUAGAGUCAGACCAGUUUCCACUGUUGAAUGACCCUAACAAAGCAUGCAUCUACGUGAUCAAGGUAAAGGCAUACUGGAAUGAAAAGAAGAUAGCACAGAGAACACACAAAACAUCAUUAAAUAGAUAGAAAUAUAUUUACAUCAGGUACCUACAGGGAAGAUCCAACAGAGGAUUUAGCUUUCCAAACCAGGAAGCCUUUUUAACAACAAAGAGAAGAACAUGAUGAAAGAUUGAAAAAAUACAAGAGAAAUUGCUUGCUUACAAAGGAGUGGGGAUGUAACACCCUGGAAAAUUCUACCCGGAAUUUUUGGAAACGAUGUAUUUUGAAUGAUUAUAUAUAUAAGUAUUAUUCAAUGUAUAUGCCUAUAUGUUCUUGGUAGAAGUAGGAAUAGUGGGGGCAAGAUAUGCGGGUUAGGCUAAUUAAGGAAGAGAAAUCCAUAACUGGGAGGUUAUGGGUUAAUUCUUAAGUAAUUAGUCUAAAAAUCAUCGUUUUGCGUGCGACUUAAAAUUUAACGAAACCAACCUCUGAACCACGCUUGGGGUUUUAUUCUGAGCGUUUUGAUAUAUAUAUUGGUUACUUUCGAAAACUGGCCCCGACGGACGCAGAGAAACACGAGGAACUGAAACCAGAGAAACGGCACGCAAACCGAGGCAGGAUUUUAGCGUUUCAAAGGUCAGAUUUUUCCUCACUUUUGUGGCUGAGUAUGGGUCAUAGUCAAAAAGGGAAAGUGGGCCCUUCUUGCUCCACUCAAAUGGAGACACGUGGCAUAGUUUAUAAUAAAAUAAUAGAAAAAGAGAAAACCCUUUUAUUUAAAACCAAAAAGCUUUUCUCUCUCUUCACUCAGCCCCCACACUUUUUCAAACAGCUCUCUCUCUCCCUCACGUUGCCAUUUUCUUCUUCUUCAUUCUCCAUUGAAGCUCCAAGCAAAGCUUCAACCUUUGGCCAUCAUUUCUGCCCCAAAUCGUGAAAGGAGGGCGUUUUUGGAGUCGUGAAGUGCGUGGCUACGAGUGGGACUUCGAAAUUUCAGGUUUGGGUGGACUUCUUUCUCCUUUGAUUUUCGUGGGUAUGGGGUUUGGGGAGAUAUGAUGGGUAGUCUUGCUAUGUUUCUGCUGUGUGAUGAUUAUUUGUGAAGACAUUUGUUGAAAGCUUGUUGAAAUUGCCAUGUUUGGAUGAGUUAAACAUACCCAUUCUGUUUUAGGGUUUUUGUGAUGAUGUUUGUGAUGUUUAUAUGCUGAAAUUGCUGAUGGAAAUCUGUUAGAGAUGAAGGGUAGAGUUAACCUAGGGUUAGAAAGUGAGAAUGUGAUGUUAUGAGUGGAAAAAGAGUGAGGCUUUGAGAGUUGGAAGGUUAAGUCUGAAUUCUGUGGUAAAUGGAGGUUAAAAUGGGUUAAUCCUAGCUUGAAAUGUCAUUUAGGACUUAUGAGAAAGCUUGGACUGUGCUAGAGAGAAAAAUAAAUGACCAAAAUGAACAAAGAGCCAUUUCUAGGGCAAAUUUGGGUGUUGAAGAGUCAAAUUUUGAUUCGGUGAGAUUUUAGGUGUAAAUCCAGUUUGAACAAGUCUAAAUAGAUGUUAUGGACUGGUGUGAGGUGAAAGUUUGCUUCAAAUUUACCUCAUUCUAAAUUUCACUUUUCAAACCUAGAAAACCCAUUAAAUUGAGGGGUGUUGGACACCUAGAUUCUAUGUUGUUGUGCUGUAAAGCUUGAUUUUGGGUUAGACAUGAUUGAUACAUGAUUUGGGACUUGUAGGAAUUGAUUUGGGCAAGAUUGGAUGAGGGAAAGUGUGAUUUUCGAAAUCUGCACUUAUGCAGAAUUUUGCUGUCAAAAUAGGUGCAGCAGGAUUUUGGCUUGUGCAGAAAAAUGCUUGUGUGUGGUUGGCUGUGGGAAGAGUAGUACAAAAUGAGUUCUGGAUGUUUUCUAGUAGAUCCCAACGGUCACAAUGUAGGCUUAUGUACUAAAGACUUCCAGUAAAAUUUUCGAGUCGAUCCAACGGUUAAUGAAUUGGAUCGAAGGAAUUGUUACUGGGGUCUUUAAGUGAGAAAAGCUGUGAUUUGGUUGGUGUUUUGGCAGAGUUGUCUGCCUUUGCUCUGUUUUGCUUGGCUGCGAUAGCUUGUACGGUUUGAAUGUUGUUUUGCUUUGAUGUUGGGAAAGCUUGGGAGGAUUGAUGGGGACCCGGUGUUGAGAGAAAAGAGGAUAUGGGCUACGUGGGAGUACGUGAGCUCAGUUGGAGGUGGGCAACAGGGGAUGGUGGGUUUAUGUGCGCUUUGUGGAUGUGGAAAACUUGUUGUGCACCAUCGCCCGACCGCCACCUAGUACCACAUGUGAUGGGUACCCCAUAAUCCUACAAGCUUGAGAUGAGGAAGUGUAGAAGGGUGAAACUUCCUGCUUUUAUUGUUGACCACAGAGUGGUAUCUGGAGAUAUGUCGCGGGGGUCAGGAGACCUUGGGGACGUCAGGUGGGGUGCUAUUGCCCAAAACCAAGCUUGACCAAUCCCGACCGAACCCGGGCAUAGUCGGUCAGUGAGAACCUGUGAUGUACCUAAACAGGCGAGCUCCUGGCAGUCAACAGAUAAAAGGAACAAAGACCACAAAGCAAGGAGGCUUGUGGUGGCUGGCCAGUUGUGAAACUUGAUUGAUAUGUGAGAUAUGGGCUCUGGUAAUCGAUUACCAAGGGUGGGUAAUCGAUUACAAGGCUUAAAAUUGAAGACAGGAGGCUAAGAUGGUCUCUGGUAAUCGAUUACCACGGGGUGUAAUCGAUUACCAGGCUUGAAAACGAGGUCAGGAAGCUAAGGAAGCCUCUGGUAAUCGAUUACCAAGGGGUGUAAUCGAUUACCAGGCUUAAAAAGGGAACUGGGAGAUGGUAGAGGCCUCUGGUAAUCGAUUACCAGCCUGUGUAAUCGAUUACACAGAGGAAUGGGUCACUGGUAAUCGAUUACCAGGCAUGUGUAAUCGAUUACACAGUGCAUUAUUGCAUAUUUCAUGUCCUGAGGCUGUGUAAUUCAAGUUUAGCCUCUGGUAAUCGAUUACCAAGGCUAUGUAAUCGAUUACCAGAGAUGAAAAGCCUUAAGAUACUCCUUUUAAUGUCAUGUAGUGGUUAUGAGAUGCAUUGUGCGGCGGCAUAGUUAGAUUCUUGUGAAAGAGUCUACCCCUUUCUUUUCUUCCUUGUAGAUCGUGAUGGCGGCGCAGCUAAUCCAUGAUCGAGUAGAGAUGGAGUGCCUAGAGGGAGCCUGGGAGACCCUCGAAGGCAACACGAGGUGCCGAUUUCGGGGCACCAUUCGAUUCACGGCUACUUCUUUGGUGCAUCCAGAUGAACCUGCACGGACGCUUCAGCGCACGGUGGAGCGGACAGCUCCUUGGAUUAGUUUUGUAUAUCUUUGAGGGUGGGUGUAUCUAGGACUGACUGUUAGGUUUACUCUUUUGUUUUUGAAUGGGUAGACCUGAUGUAUAGGAAUUUGAUGAUUGUAUACUUGUGGCUGAAGCCACCACUAUGGACACCUUUGCUCUGGAUGACACUAUAUAUUUUGUAAAACUCCCAUAUUUUGGACAACUUUAAAUGAUGAAUGCAUUUAUGAUCGAUCUUGUUAUUUGAAAAGAAAGCAUUAGCAACUUUAUUUGUAAAAGAGUUUAUCGACCGUAUUUUAUUCUUUUAUUUUCACGUGACGACCUAAAGUAAUGGCUGGUACAUUCUUCCUUUUGAAAAAGCAAAAUAGUUUAGAGAUUAUGAGCGGUGAGAAAGAAAUGACUCCGAAUAGAGUUGUGAACUGGCCAUUCAGGACUCUAUAGUGAGGAUUUUCCUUCAAAACCUUGUUUUGGUGAAAAGAGAAAGAAAUGAAAAAGAAAAAGAAAAAAAAAAUUUACCAUGGUUUUUGUUUAUUUAAAUUAUUACUAUUAAACCAGUCAUUAAUUUAGGGAUGCCACAGGGGAUGUCUCCUCCACCUCUAGGAAUCUCACAAUCACUCAAAAACUCACUAAUCUCCCUAAAAGAUGAAAAAUUGGCCCUUUAUUCUGCUCUACGCUCUCUAAAACUCAAAAACUCACUAAUUCCCCUUUACUCGCUAAGCGCGUUGGUGCUGGGCUUAGCCGUUGAUGCGCGCUAAGCGCAUUGAGCUUGCUUAGCGCGAUGACUCCUUUGGCACUUCUUCAAAAUAGCUCCUUUUUGCCUGAAAUUAAAGAAAAUUUAACAUUAAUUCCAUGUAAAGAGGCUUCUACUGAGCAGGGAUCAAAAUAAAGAAAUUUUAUUUACAAUCCUACCAAAAAGAACCAUAAAUUGGGAGAUUUAUAUACAUUUUGGAAAAGUUUUCUAUACAAAAUUUAGUUGUAAACGAUGACUAACAGUUGUCAUAAGGUAAACUCGUGCGUCCAGUCUCAAAGAUUAUAUCACUAAAAAGGGAAGUGCUCAUGUACUAUUUUAUUCACAUUCUAUUUUCAUCUCUUUCAUUUGAAUAACUAACGUUUGAAUUUAAGAAAAGGACAUUGUAGAAGACAAUAAAAGGCUUCCAUGGAGCAUUCUCUUGAAGGUCGCUUUCAGAGCGGACAAAAAGCACAUGGAGUUGUUUGUACUUCAUAUAAAUCCUCGACAUUCAGAGCUUGACACGUCGACCAAUUCCUCUAUGUGAGACAACAACACAAAUCCCACAACAGAUAUCUUACUAAAGUCUAUAAAAGGAUGUCUCCUUCAAUGAAGCAACUAACAAAAAAGAGAAAAAGAAAGAACAAGAGCACAAGAAAGUUACUUGAGGUGAAACUAUGUGAUAAACACUACACGUUCUACACUGAUAUUAUUCUUUGCAACGCAAAGUAGUUUGUAUUUGUACUUAAUUGUAUAUUCACUCUUUGAGUGUUAAAAAUACUCUUAUUCAAUCAAACAUUUGUUUCUAAAAGCCAUGAGAGGCUUAGUGUUAAAAAAUACAUGGGUUCUUAGAUUCAAGGGGAGUUUAAGAAGAUACUAGAGUUACGGAUACUUGUAAAGCCAGGAGUGACGGGUUAGAAUACUUGUUUGUAAUCAGUAAUUGAUAAGUGGGACCUUUUACUUGUGAGUACUGGAGAAUUACUGGACAUAGCUUAGGUUGAGCGAACCAGUAUAAACCAAGUGUUUCUACUUCUUUUCAUGUGUUUUAUCGAGUAUUCUUAUUACAUUUUCUAACAUCACUUUACACCAAGUGCUUAUUUGAAAAAUGUUUUAAGAACCUCUCAUUUGUCACUGGACAACCACUCUAUUCUUCAUUACAUAGUUUGUUUACUCUCAGCGGACGACUAGUGCUUGUCUCUGUAUUAUCCAUAGUAUCCAUGUUAUUGCGAAAAGUUUUUAUCUCUGAUACAAACACUAUUCAACCCCCCCCCCCCUUUAGUGUGUUUCUUGUAGUUUCAGUUGGUAUCAGAGUUUGGCCCUAUGUGCUGAGUAUCUGACAAUACUUAGGAAAAGAUCCUAUAUAUGUCAAAGAUAUGGAAGAAGGAUUUGCCACCAACAAACUACCUUUAUUCAUAGGGAUAAAGUAAGACUAUUGGAAGGAGCGUAUGAUAGCCCAUUUUGAAUCUAUUCAUAUAGAUUUAUGGGAUGUGGUGGAAAAUGGAGAUUACAUACCAUACGAUGACCAGCUAAAUGAAAUCCCCAGAAGCCAGUGGAUGGAGCAGCAAAAUCUCAUAUUUUUGCUAAACUCAAAGGCCUGGAACAUGAUGUUGUGCGCUUUUUCUAAAAGAAGAUUACACAAAGGUACACAACUUCAAGAGUGCCAAACAAAUACGAGACACCUUAACGAGGGCACCUCAUAGGUAAAGAGGAACAAACUCAAUCUCCUCACCCAUAAGUAUAAACUUUUCAUCAGGGAAGAAAACGAAGAUAUACAAUGAAUGUUCAAACGUUUUCAAACCAUUUUUAAUGAACUAAGAUCCUUAGGUAGAACUUAUGAUAAUUAUGACCACAUUGAAAAAAUUCUAAGAAGUCUAUCUUGGAAAUGGAGACCGCAGGUAACAACGCUGAAAGCGUUAAAUGGGGACAACAGGUAACAACGCUAAAAGCAUUAAAUGGAGACUGCACAUAACAGGUGUGGAUAACUCACCUUCAUCUUUUUCAAAAUCCACAAGAUGUGAAGAAACAAAAGUGGGUCUAAAUGGAGAAGCCCUUCAAGAAGAAUGCCUCGAGACAAGAAGGACAAAGAAAAAAGCUGCAUAGUCUGCUAUGAGUGCAAAAAGCCUGGACACUUCAAGUCAGAAUGUCCAGAUUUGGAGAAAAGUCAAGAUAAGAAGAAAUUCUUUAAGACUAAUAAAUAAAAGAAGGGGCUUAUGAGCACGUGGGAAGAUCUGGACGACACCUUGUUUGAUGAAGACGGUGAAGAAGUAAACAUGUCUAAUGGUAGACACAACUUCUGAAGCAUUUGAAUCAGACCACGAUGAUGAGGUAAAUUUUGAUGACCCUGAGUCUCUUAGAAAAGUCUGUCAUGAACUUUUAUCUAACUCAUCAAUUCUCUAAAAGGCUUAUAAAAACCUACAAAGAGAUUUAAAAAAUCUAUCCAAAGAUCAUUUAAAGCUUGAGAAAACCCUUCAGGAUCAAGUAGAUGACUCAUUGGACGAGUCCGCUCGAUCAUGUAAAGCUUAUGAAGCUCUUAAAGAAAAGGAGUCCAAGUCAUGCAUUGAGAUAGAGACAAAUGCCAACGAAAAAGCUACCCUUCUUAAAAACUUUUAGGAGUUGGAAAACAAACUGAAAGAUCUUCAAAAGGAUUUGAAGGAGCUUAAUGAACUUCACAAUCAUCAAAAAGAAGAAAGAUAUGAUCUUUGGAGAGAGUGUGCACAAGCACACAAAGAUUAUGAUGAACUCAAAGUGAGUAAACGCAAUCUUUGGGUGGAAUGUGAAAAACACAAGAAAUUUGCAAGUUUUCAGAAAGAUGAGCUUCUUAAGCAUCUAGAACUUAAAGGUCAACCUCAAGAUGUUGUAAAACUUUAUGAGGAAAUAAGAACAUUAAAGACUACAUUAACCAAGUUUGUCAAUGGAACAGACAAUCUUAACAAGUUGUUAGGAUACUACAGAAGUUCUAUUGACAAAUUUGGAAAUGGAUAUGAGGGGAAUGCAUAUGUUCAUGAUGAAUAUACAAUUGUAUGCUACUUCUAUGGAAAAAAUGGACACAUGACUUCCAGAUCUAGGGAUCUUCCUAGAAGGUUUCACCCAACUCCUUCAUGACUAACACAAAAGGACCCAAAAAGAUUUGGGUGCCUAAGAAAAGAAUUUUUCCUGUUUCAGAUAUCCUUGAUGGUAGGAAACAAACGUCUAUCAUGGUACCUAAUCAGUGGCUGCUCGUGACACAUGACGAGAGAAAAGUCUAUAUUCCAAUGCCUGACUAAUGAGAAUCCUGAAACUACCCAAAUACAGGGACCUAUGACUAGGAGUAGGACCAAACAGUCAGUGGAUACCCUCCAACAAAUGGUAGCAGGCAUACUUAGGAAGGCCCAAGUGGAGAAGGAUGAAGGCCCAAGUGGAGAAAGACGAAGGCCCAAGUGGAAAAAGAAGAAAGCCAAGAGGCAGAGGCACUACCAAGAAUAUUAAUUUUUGCUGAAGGCCUAGAUUAAUUUGAAGGCCCACGACAAAUAUGUUCUAUUUUUUUAUUAUUUUCGUUUUAAUUUUGGCCCAAACUGUGUUUGAAGGCCCAUGUCUAUUUUUAUAUUUUUGUUCAUAUACACUAUAUGUAUUGGUUUUCAUUUUCAAUAAAGAAAAACUUUUGGGCAUUUGAUAAAAUUUGGUGAGAGCUUCUCUCUGGGUUCCUUGUUGAACCAAUCUCAGACUUAUCAAGGUAAUCCUUGUGGUGUCUACCUUGACUUAUCUUCCCUCUUUGGAAGUGGCAUCAUCCAGAACUUCAUAACUUGUAUCAAGCGAUCCGUUCCUAGUCAGGUUCACACCAUUUGGUAUCAGAGUUUCGGCUCUUGAUACAGGUUCUAUCCUAUCCAAAUCUUUUUCUUUGUAAUCUGUCCAGGUUUGUGUUUUUGUCCUUGUUCUAUUAUUUGCGUUCAUGUUUCGUUCUUGUUUACAUCUUGUUUCGUUCUUGUUUGCGUCUUGUUGCGUUCUUGUUUUAUUCUUGUUCUAUUAUUUGUGUUAUUGUUCUUGUUCUUGUCACAUUCUUGUUCUUGUUUCUUGUGUCUUUGACACUUUGUGUCAGAAAAAAAAGUUGCAGAAAUUUGGAAAAUAAAAGAAAAGAAGAAAAAAAAGAAAGAAAGUGGGUGUUUGAUCUUUGAACACGAAAUUGAGGCAGUUAGAGGCAUUUUUUGGCAAGAAAAUCGUGGACCAAAUCCCCUUAUCUAGAUUCUCCUCUGAAUUCUGAGCGUUUUGAUAUAUAGUGGGCCUCAAACGAACAACCGUAGCAAAAAUUAUGACCGUUUGAAGUUUACUUGUCAUCUUCGUUAAUUUUGUUCUCUUCUUCUCUGUGAUUAAGUAGCUUCUUUGUUUAUUCUAUUUGUUAUCCAAAUCAAAUCAAAUCUAAUUUGUUAUCCAAAUCAGAUCUGUUAUCCAAAUAAAAUCAAAUCUAAUUUGUUAUCCAAAUCAGAUCUGUUAUCCAAAUAAAAUCAAAUCUAAUUUGUUAUCCAAAUCAAAUAUAAUUUGCUAUCCAAAUCAAAUCUAAUAUGUUAUCCAACUUAAAUCUAAAUCCAAAUCAAGUCUAAUCUGUUUUCCAAAUCAAAUCAAAUCUCAUUUGUUAUCCAAAUCAAAUCAAAUCUAAUAUGUUAUCCAAAUCAAAUCUAAUCUGCUAUCCAAAUAAAAUCUAAUCUGUUAUCCCAAUCAAGUCUAAUCUGUUAUCCAAAUCAAGUCUAAUAUGUUAUCCAAAUCAAAUCUAUUACUCAGUCUGUGAUAAUUAAACUGUCCUUCCUGUUAUAUACCCUGUGUGUCUAAUUUGAUUCAUCCAGGAACUUAAGAGGGAGUGAGUGGUAAAAGGUAAGAGUGAAAACAUCACACAAAAGCCUGUAUUGAGAGCAUCAAACACGAGUGAACUACCAUCAAAGAGAGAAACACGUGAGUAGAGUGUGGUGAGGUCCUGAAACCUUUUUUUUAAAUUACUGCAAAAGAUUUUUUUUUUCUCUGUUUAUUAUGGUAGGAGUUGGUGAUGGUGGUGGUGAUUAUCAUCAGCUGGACGGAUCUCAGCGUUUGUUAUUGAACGUAAUGACAACACAGAUGCAACAAUUGCUGAACCGUAACAAUGAAGAGCUCUACAGACGAAUAGAAGGACUAAAGCACCAAAUGAACCCAAAUGCUGGGAGACCUUAUGGUGGGAACAGAAGGGUCAAUAAUGGACCGAACCGAAUAGAGGGGCAGGACAAAAUUGAGGGAGUAAAACUCAAUGUACCCCUUUUCAAAGGUAGGAGUGACCCAAAUGCCUACCUUGACUGGGAGAUGAAGAUUUAGCAUGCAUUCUCCUAUAAUGAUUAUCCUAAAGAGCAGAAGGUGAAGUUAGCAGCAGCUACAUUCUCAGACUAUGCCCUUGUUUGGUGGAAGAAAAAUCAAAGAGAAAUGAAGAGAGAAGAGGGGCGGGAGAUAGAUACAUGGACUAAGAUGAGAAGGGUUAUGCAAAAGAGGUGUGUUCCAACCAGCUACAGUAGAACCAUGCGGCAGAAACUCCAGAGGUUGCCCCAAGGAAGUUUGACUGUGGAGGAGCAGUACAAGGAGAUGGAGAUGACACUAGUGAGGGCCAACAUUGAAGAGGACACCAAAGUAGUGUGUGAUGGCUUCACCAACAAGAUUUCUUUCCAGCACCAUGACCAGAUAAUUAUUCUUAAGCCUCUUUCCCCUAGAGAAGUGUGUGAUGACCAAAUCAAAAUGAGAGAAAAGAAAGAGAAAGAAAAUAGUGAGGCACCACAGAGGAAUAGGAAAAAGAAGAGUGAUACACCUGAGAGAAAAAGUGAUACACAUGAGAGAAAGAGUGAUAAUUCUAAUGAGUUAAUUGUUUAUGUUUUUCCUAGUGUUCAACCCUUAUUGCAGGAAUUUAAAAAUGUUUUUCCCAAGGAGAUUACUCAUGGGCUGCCACCUUCAAGAAGCUCUGAACAUCAAGUUGAUCUCCUUCUAGAAGCUUCAUUGCCUAGCAGGCCAUCUUACAAAAGCUAGCCCCAAGAGACUCAACAUAAGGAUGCACAGGCCAAAGUCGAGUAUGUAAAAAGAUUGUAUGACCAUGUGAAGGUGCAAAUUGCAAAGAAGAAUGAAAGCUAUGCCAAGCAAACCAACAAGAAUAGGAAGGAAGUGGUACUUGAACCUAGUGAUGAUCCUAGACAUUUGAGGGCAAAUGUUUUCCAAGAAGGAGGGAAUGAUGAGAAUCCUAAAACUACUCAAAUAGAAGGACCUAUGACUAGAAGUAGGACCAAAAAAUCAGUGGAUACCCUCCAACAAAUGGUAGCAGGCAUACUUAGCAAGGCCCAAGUGGAGAAGGACGAAGGCCCAGAGGCAGAGGCACUACCAAGAAUAUCAAUUUUUGCUGAAGGCCCAGAUUAAUUUGAAGGUCCAUGCCAAAUAUGUUCUAUUUUUUUUAUUUCUAAUUAUUUUCGUUGUAAUUUUGGCCCAAACUGUUUUGAAGGCCCAUGUCUAUUUUUAUCUUUUUGUUCAGAUACACUAUAUGUAUUGGUUUUCGUUUUCAAUAAAGAAAUUUUUUUGGGCAUUUGAUAAAAUUUGGUGAGAGCUUCUCUCUGGGUUCCUUGUUGAACCAAUCUCAGACUUAUCAAGGUAAUCCUUGUGGCAUCUACCCUGACUUAUCUUCCCUCUUUGGAAGUGGCGUCAUCCAUAACUCUGUAACCUGUAUCAAGCGAUCCGCUCCUAGUCAGGAUCACAUCACUGACUCCCUAUCAUGGUGGAACAAUCCCUUUUAGAGGGAAUCAAAAUGGAAAAAUAACCAGCAUGGGUAGGAUUGGUAUUCAUCUCUAUCCCCCUAUUGAUAAUGUUUUGUUUGUUGAAGGUCUUAAUCAUAAUCUACUAAGCAUAUGUCAAUUAUGUGACACUGGAUAUGGUGUAUCCUUCAACAAAGAUGAGUGUGUUGUCCAGUGUGAGGAUGGGUCCCCCUUAUUCUCUACAAUGAGAAAAGGCAACCUUUACAAGUUAAGACUGGGGGAAUUCUAAAAUCAAAAGGUGCCAUACUUACUGUCUAUCAUAGAAAAUCAAUGGCUAUGGCAUAGAAAACUUGGUCAUGUAAGUUGGAGGUUAAUCUCCAAACUGUAGAAAAAUAACCUCAUAAGAGGUUUACCAAGUAUGUCAUAUAAAGAUUAUCUACUUUGUGAGGCAUGUUAAAAGGGGAAACAAAUCAAAAUUUCAUUUACCAGUAAAAACAUAGUUUCAACCACUAGACCUCUAUAGCUAUUACAUCUUGAUUUGUUUGGUCCUACCAGAAUUGCGUCCACCAGUGGUAAGAGGUAUGGACUUGUCAUAGUGGAUGACUACUCUGGAUGUACAUGGGUUAUGUUCCUAAACCACAAGGAUGAGUCUUUUGAAGUCUUAUUUAAAUUUUGUAAACGAGUUUAAAACAAAAUAAAAGUAUGCAUUACUUCAACCAGAAGUGACCAUGGGGGUGAGUUUGAAAACGAAAGGUUCCUACUGUUCUGUAAGGAAAAUGGAAUUCUUCACAAUAUCUCAACACCAAGAACUCCUCAACAAAAUUGAGUAGUUGAAAGAAAGAACAAAUCUCUCCAAGAGAUGGCUAGAACCAUGGUAAAUGAUAACUCAACCCUUAAACACUUUUAUGCUGAAGUAGUGAAUACUACCUGCUAUCUUUAGAACAAAAUUUAUAUAAGACCUAUCUUGAAAAAGACUCCCUAUGAAUUAUGGAAGGGAUGAAAACCCAACAUAUCAUAUUUUCAUCCUUUUGGGUGCAAGUGUUUCAUUCUUAAUACAAAGGACAGUCUGGGAAAAUUUGACUAAAAUAGUGACUAUGGGAUAUUUCUUAGAUAUUCUGAAACUUCAAAGACAUUCAGAGUGUACAACUCCAAAACCUUAGUUGUUGAAGAAAUUAUCCAUAUAAGAUUUGAUGAGAAUAAGUCUAAUAAAAAAAUUAUUAUAGCUAGAAGAGUUUUUUGCGGAUUUAUGACUGGAUGGUAUCACAACAGUUACCAACUUGUCUAGAUAAGAAUCAAAGAUACUUGGGUCUACUCAACAAGAAGCUCAAGCUGAAAUCAGAGAACCCACUGGACGCAUUAUGAGAAAGAACCACCCAGGGAGUUAAAUCAUAGGUGAUCCAACAGAUCAUGUUCAAACUAGAUUGUCCUUAAAAACACAAGGACACACUACACUGAUCUCUGCGAUGGAGCCUAAGCACAUCAACGCGACAAUGCAAGACCACAACUAGGUGAAAGCGAUGCAAGAAGAGCUUGACCAGUUUCAAAAGAAUGAUGAUGUAUGGAAGCUCGUUGAAUUACUAAAAGGAUAGAAAGUAGUUAGAGCAAAAUGGGUAUUUUGUAACCAAUUGGACAAAGAUGAUAAGGUUGUGAGAAACAAGGCAAGAUUAUUUACUAAAGGUUACUCACAAUAGGAAGGUAUAGACUACACAAAAACCUUUGCACUUGUUAUUCACUUAGAAGCAAUACGCAUUUUACUUUCAUUUGUAACCCAUAGUAAUAUAAAGCCAUAUCAAAUGGAUGUAAAAAGCGCAUUUUUAAAUGGAUUAAUCCAAGAGGAAGUUUAUGCUGAACAACCUCCUAGAUUUGAAAGUGAAACCCUUCCUCGACAUGUUUUUAAACUCACCUAAGCAUUAUAUGGACUUAAACAAGCUCCUAGAGCUUGGUAUGAAAAAUUAAGUUCAUUACUUUUAGAGGAUGGUUUUCAACAAGGAAAGGUUGACACAACUCUCGUAAGAAUUAUGAGUCUCAAUUUAUACUAGUACAAGUAUAUGUGGACUACAUUAUCUUUGGUGCCACUAAUGAAAUGCUCUGUGAAGAUUUCUCUAAGUUAAUUCAAACUGAGUUAGAAAUGAGCAUGAUUGGUGAACUGAAGUUCUUUCUAGGAUUGCAAAUAAAGAAAACACCACAAGGCAUCUAUAUUCAUCAGACCAAAUAUGUAAAAUAACUAUUAAAGAAGUUCAACAUGAUUGAUGCAAAAGAAAUGAAGACUCUUAUGCAUCCCACUACACAUCUUGGACUACACGAGGAAUCAAUGAUUGUGGACGGAACCCAGUAUAGAGCAAUGAUUGGCUCACUGCUCUACCUUACUGCGUCUAGGCCUGAUAUAAUAUUCAAUGUUUGUUUAUGUGCUAGAUCCCAAAAGGAACCAAGAGAAGUUCAUUUAACUGUAGUUAAAUGUAUAUUCAGAUAUUUAAUUGGAACUUCUCACCUUCGUCUUUUGUUCAAAGGAAGAGAAAGCUUCAGGCUCAUAAGCUAUUGUGAUGCAGACUAUGAUGGUGAUAAAGUUGAAAGGAAAAGUACAAGUGGAAGUUGUCACAUGAUAGAACGCAACUUAGUCACAUGGAUAUGCAAGAAGCAGAGAUCAACUACAUUAUCCACUGCUGAAGUAGAAUACAUGUCAGCAGCAAGCUAUUGCCUCAACUUUUUUGGAUAAAUAACCAGCUUGAAGACUAUAGCUUCUAUGAGAGUAAAAUUCCUAUCCAUUGUGAUAAUAGAUUUGUUAUAAGUCUUUCGAGAAACCUAACAUUGCAUUCCAGAGCAAAGCAUGUAGAAAUUAAACAUCAUUUUAUAAGAGAUCAUGUUCAAAAUGGUACAAUGAAUUUAUAGUUUAUACCCACUAAUGAACAACUUGCUGAUAUUUUUACAAAAUCAUUAACUAAAGAAAGGUUGAUUGUGUUAAGGAGUUAACUUGGAAUGAUAUUUGUAAAUGAUUAAUUUAAUAUCCAUACGUCGUCCACUGGGCAUCCAAGGACACGUCGUCCAUUAGGCAUCCAAGGACACGUCAUCCACUAGUCAUUACCACACACUCACAAUGUUCAAUAUAUGGAUGAUAUGUCAUGCAUUUUAUAAAACAAAUGUUUUCCUUAGUGAAACAUUGUAACGCCUCAUGUUGAGUCAAUUUCAGGAAGUAGACCUAAUGAUUGUUUUUUAAAAAGCCAAAAAGCCCACUAUAAACACUACAAGAAAAAUAGUUAUUAUUGACGUAAUAUUUCCCACAAAUGUAUUCUAUCGAAAAUGUUUUAAUUACCGUCAGACUUUAUCUAGUGAUUGUAUUCCAUCAGAAAUGUUUGAAUUACCGAUGGACAAUUUUUCCAUCGAAAAGUAUAAAUUACCAACAAUUUUUUACCCAUGGAUUUAGUUUUGUCAAAAAUUGAAAUAUUACUGAAAUAUUUUACCCAUGGAAUAUGUAUCCAUCGAAAAUUAAAAUUUUACCCAAAACAAAAAGAAUCCAACCCUAGCCAGACUCUUGGUCUCUCAUGUAUCCAAUUUCUGAUAGCGCUCGCACCCACUCCGUCGUCUCACUCACUCCACCAUCCACGCUGUUGUCGCAUGAGCCCUCGUCAUGCCCACAUCGUCAUUGCACGCUCACUGUCAUCGCACAUCGUUGUGUUGUCUUCUCACCAACAUUGUCAUGCCACUACCAUUUAACCCACACCGCCAUCGCACACGCUGUCGCGCACUUGCUAUUGUGCCUACACUAAUUGGUUAGUGCUCUUAUUUUAAAUAUAUUUUUUGUAAAAUUCAUCAAAUAACCUGACUUUUGCCUUUUUAAUUAAUGAUUUUAGCUUUUGCUUAGUAAAAUACUAUUCACAACCAACAAAAAACUUAAAAACAUGUUGGCCACCUUUCCCAAAUUCAUUUUGUUUAUUUAUUUGAGUAAAAGAACCUAUGAAUCUGAACCUAACAUGGUUCAUGUGUAAGACAAAGACCUGUUGCAUAAACCAAGCUAACUAUUACUCGCACAUGAGACAAGAAACAAUUAAAAUAUAAAACUAAUGAAGUUGGGACAUGACUUUUUGAUUCCCAUUACUCAAUUCCAUCAUUUCACCUUCUCAAUUUGUUUUUCUGCUUUAUUAAUUUGUCCCAAAUCAGAACUAAAUUGAGCUUCUACACAACCAGACUAGAGAUUCAAUGCAAAAACUGAUAUCUUUACUAACUUUGUGUUUCUCUCUUCAUUAAAUUAUAGUUUUCCAAAUCUCUCUUUAUGGUAAGUGUUGCUGUUUAAUUUGAUGAAUUUGGGGUUUGGUUCAAAUUAUUAUUGUGAAGCUUUGUUAGCAAUAGUCACAGACAUAAGAAUUAAUUUUGAUCAUGCAUUUCUCAUGACCCUAUUUAUCAGCGUGGGUCACUACUUCUUCUGUCUGUCUGUCUCUCCUAUGAAUUAUGGAGGUAUUGAGUUGGAUGCAUUGCCUGGUGCAAUCACUGUCAGAAUAAAAUAAACAAAUUUGUCAAAAUUUCAUUGGAAUCAAAAUCAAAUUUCCAAGCCUUACUUUGAAUUUGAAUCUAGUAAACUUUUCGUGAAAAGAAGAUCCAACACUUUCUAAGUUGCUUAUAUCAUUUACUUACAAGUGAUAGGUCAAAAUGACCUACACCCAGACUGGUUGACACGACCUUCAAUCCGGUGCAAAUCAAACUAGCUUCUCACAAGCAUCAAGGGAAAAGUUCCGCAAAGCAAAAGGAAGCAUCACCAGAUGAGUGACGAGACCUUUAACCAUGUUGAAAUCAAACCUGAGAUGAUUUCACGUAAUCUACUUCUCCAUUUCACAAUAUUGCCAAGGUCUCACUUCCUCGAUCAUAAGGUCUUGCUUCCUACGCCGUCAAAGAUUUCACUUUUGUCACGAUAACCCAUCCUUACUACCACAAGUAACGGAGCAUUGCAUAGACAAAGACAACAUAAAAGUCAUACAAACAACACAAAAUUCAUCAACAAAGGAAAGCAAAUUCAUUAUUAGAAGAAGAAAUUUUUUUCAUAAUUACAUAGCCAUUGUGGCCAAAAACCAAUAGAGGGAAAAUAUAAAAGGCAACCUAAAAUUUGGCAUUAUCGCCUUGCUCUUCAGCGCCCUGCUCCUCAUGAGCAUCCUUUUCCUCAACAGCUAUGUCUUCCUCGUCAAGCAGAACAUUGUCCUUCAUGUCCUUGAAUGGAUCAAAAAGACCUAAGUCAAGGUCCUUGGCAAAGAACUCGGCCUGCCUAACGGUCUUGUGAAAUCCCUUUUCAUGCUGCUCCAUAGCUUCCUUCUU